rnacentral:rRNA from 1 species
ACGGGUGAGUAACGCGUGGAAAACCUGCCGUAUACUGGGGGAUAACACUUAGAAAUAGGUGCUAAUACCGCAUAAGCGCACAGCUUCGCAUGAAGUGGUGUGAAAAACUCUGGUGGUAUACGAUGGUUCCGCGUCUGAUUAGCUUGUUGGGGGGUAAUGGCUCACCAAGGCGACGAUCAGUAGCCGGCCUGAGAGGGUGAACGGCCACAUUGGGACUGAGACACGGCCCAAACUCCUACGGAAGGCAGCAG